AUGAGGCUCUUUCCACAUGUACCUCUUAUAGCUCUACAAGGAACGACCCAGGCCAGAAACCUGCCAAAUCCUGUCAAGUACUGUGAUCUGCAAAACGGAUCUGCCUCAGGAAAGCCAGGGAAGGUGGGGCUGGAUGGAGGGUGUGUUCCAGCUGGAACAUCUCUUCUGGGCCAGGCACAGUGGGGAAAACCAAGAUGGAUUCAUUAUGGCCCUGCUCUCAUGAUUGGGAAACAGGACCUUGCUGUUGCCCAAGCUGGUCUCAAACUCCUGGCUUCAAGAGGAUCCUCCUUCCCCAGCCUCUCAAAGUGUUGGUAUUACAGACAUGCCACUGCACCCCUCCGUGUUUGUUUCUUACUGCCCAUGACAAUUACAAUUAGUACUAGCUUAUCUCCAUGACCAUCACAAACACAUACUUGGCCAUUAAUUCUGCUCACCCAAAUCUCUAUUGCUCUGACUUCUGGGCACCCAGCACUGGCCAAUGAGGUGUGAGCUAGGCCCAAACAUAGAAUUGCUGGCGUGAGAUCUUUCAGAGUUGUCUCCCUCUGUCAUGGCAACCAGCAAUAUUCAAAAUAAGGGCUACUGGAAAGCACACAGGCUCAUGCCUGUAAUCUCAGCGACUCAGGAGGCCAAGGGUGGGAGGAUGGCUUGAGGCCAGGAGUCUAAGACAAGCCUGGGUAACAUAGCAAGACUCAUUAUCAAAAAAAAAAAAAAAAUCUACUUUGGUGUCAUACUGGCUUUUGGAGGGAAGUGUGAAACUGCCAGCUGGCAUGUAAUGGAUACAUAGUGUGAAGUAGCAAUACAUUUUUUUAUUUUGAGACAGAGUCUCUGUCACCCAGGUUGGGGUGUGGUGGUGUGAUCUUGGCUCACUGCAAACUCUGCCUUCCAGGUUCAAAUGAGUCUCCAGCCUCAGCCUCCAAAGUAGCUGGGACUAUAGGUUCGCACCACCACACCUGGCUAAUUUUUGUAUUUUUGGUAGAGAUGGGGAUUUGCCAUGUUGGCCAGGCUGGUCUCAAACUCCUGACCUCAAGUGAUCCUCCCACCUCAGCCUCCCAACUGCUAGGAUUACAGGUGUGAGUCACUGUGCCUGGCAGCAAUACACAUUUUAUAAAUUGAUACAUAAUGUCACAUAUUGAUGGGUACAUGUACCUGUUACAUGCACAGAAUAUGUAAUGAUCAAGUCAGGGUAUUUGGGAUAUCCAUCACCUUGAGGAUUUACAAUUUCUUUCUUUCUUUUUUUUUUAAGAUGGAGUCUCACUCUUGACACCCAGGCCAAAGGGUUGGAGUGUAGUGGCACAAGUUGGCUGACUGCAACCUCAGCCUCCAGGGUUCAAGCAGUUCUUCUGCCUCAGCCUCCCAAGUAGCUGAGAUUACAGGUGCCUGCCACUAGGCCCAGCUAAUUUUUGUAUUUUUAGUAGAGACGGUGUUUCACUAUGUUGGCCAGAUUGGUCUUGAACUGCUGACCUCAGGUGAUCCACCUGCCUUGGUCUCCCAAAGUGCUGGGAUUACGGGUGUGAGCCACUGCACCCAGCCCAAGGACUGACCAUUUCUAUGUGUUUGGAACAUUUCAAGUCCUCUCUUCUAGCUGCUGCUUUGAAAUACACAGUACAUUGUUGCUAACUAUAGUCACUUUACUCUGCCAUCAAACAUUAGAACUUUUUCUAUCUAAUUGUAUGUUUGGUAACCCACAUGUCUUCAUCACCCCUCUCCCAUCCACAGAUCCAGCCUCCAGUAUAUGCCAUUCUCUUCUCGGACUCUUUGAGAUCAGCUUUUUAGCUCCCACACGAGUAAGAACAUGCAAUAUUCGUCUUUUUGUGCUUGAAUUAUUUCAAUCAUACCAUAAUGACCUCCAGUUUCAUCCAUGUUACUGUAAAUAAUAUUUUUUUUUUUUUUUUUAUUGAUACGGGGUCUCACUUUGUUGCCCAGACUGGAGUGCAGUGGCAUGAUCAUGGCACUCUGUAGCCUUCAAUUCCUGAGCUCAAACAAUCUUCCUCCAUCAGCCUCCCAAGUAGCUAAAACUACUGGUGCACAGCACCACACCUGGUUAAUUUUAAAAGACUUUUUGUUAUUUUUAUUUAUUUAUUUUUUUGAGACAGAGUUUCGCUCUUGUUAGGCAGGCUGGAGUACAAUGGCGCGAUCUUGGCUCACCGCAACCUCCACCUCCUGGGUUCAGGCAAUUCUCCUGCCUCAGCCUACUGAGUAGCUGGGAUCACAGGCAUGCGCCACCAUGCCCAGCUAAUUUUUUUUUGUAUUUUUAGUAGAGACAGGGUUUCACCAUGCCGACCGGGAUGGUCUCGAUCUCUUGACCUUGUGAUCCACCCGCCUCGGCCUCCCAAAGUGCUGGGAUUACAGGCUUGAGCCACUGCACCUGGCCGACUUUUUGUUAAAUUUAAAAGACUUAAUCAAAAAAAAAUUUAGUCUGGAGUGCAAUGGCGUGAUCUCGGCUCACUGCAAUCUCCGCCUCCCAGGUUCAAGUCUCCUGUGUUGCCAGGCUGCGGCUGUUACUUGCAGCAUAAUCUAGCCUAUCCUUUCUAAUAAAGGCAUUGAAUUUGAGGGACA
rnacentral:lncRNA from 13 species